rnacentral:rRNA from 1 species
AACGGUAACAGGGUGCUUGCACCGCUGACGAGUGGCGAACGGGUGAGUAACGCAUCGGAAUGUACCGUGUAAUGGGGGAUAGCUCGGCGAAAGCCGGAUUAAUACCGCAUACGCCCUGAGGGGGAAAGUGGGGGACCGUAAGGCCUCACGUUAUACGAGCAGCCGAUGUCUGAUUAGCUAGUUGGUGAGGUAAGAGCUCACCAAGGCGACGAUCAGUAGCGGGUCUGAGAGGAUGAUCCGCCACACUGGGACUGAGACACGGCCCAGACUCCUACGGGAGGCAGCAGUGGGGAAUUUUGGACAAUGGGCGCAAGCCUGAUCCAGCCAUGCCGCGUGUCUGAAGAAGGCCUUCGGGUUGUAAAGGACUUUUGUUCGGGAGGAAAUCCCGCUGGUUAAUACCUGGCGGGGAUGACAGUACCGGAAGAAUAACACCGGCU